rnacentral:rRNA from 1 species
AUUGAACGCUGGCGGAAUGCUUUACACAUGCAAGUCGAACGGUAGAGGGGGCAACCCCUCGAGAGUGGCGAACGGGUGAGUAAUAUAUCGGAACGUGCCCAGUCGUGGGGGAUAACGUAGCGAAAGUUACGCUAAUACCGCAUACGAUCUAAGGAUGAAAGCGGGGGAUCGCAAGACCUCGCGCGAUUGGAGCGGCCGAUAUCAGAUUAGGUAGUUGGUGGGGUAAAGGCUCACCAAGCCAACGAUCUGUAGCUGGUCUGAGAGGACGACCAGCCACACUGGAACUGAGACACGGUCUAGACUCCUACGGGAGGCAGCAGUGGGGAAUUUUGGACAAUGGACGCAAGUCUGAUCCAGCCAUUCCGCGUGCAGGAUGAGGGCCCUCGGGUUGUAAACUGCUUUUGUACGGAACGAAAAGGUUUGUCUUAAUACGAUGAGCUCAUGACGGUACCGUAAGAAUAAGCACCGGCUAACUACGUG